AGUGAACGCUGGCGGUAGGCCUAACACAUGCAAGUCGAACGGCAGCACAGUAAGAGCUUGCUCUUACGGGUGGCGAGUGGCGGACGGGUGAGGAAUACAUCGGAAUCUACUUUUUCGUGGGGGAUAACGUAGGGAAACUUACGCUAAUACCGCAUACGACCUACGGGUGAAAGCAGGGGAUCUUCGUACCUUGCGCGAUUGAAUGAGCCGAUGUCGGAUUAGCUAGUUGGCGGGGUAAAGGCCCACCAAGGCGACGAUCCGUAGCUGGUCUGAGAGGAUGAUCAGCCACACUGGAACUGAGACACGGUCCAGACUCCGACGGGAGGCAGCAGUGGGGAAUAUUGGACAAUGGGCGCAAGCCUGAUCCAGCCAUACCGCGUGGGUGAAGAAGGCCUUCGGGUUGUAAAGCCCUUUUGUUGGGAAAGAAAAGCAGCAGGUUAAUACCCCGCUGUUCUGACGGUACCCAAAGAAUAAGCACCGGCUAACUUCGUG
rnacentral:rRNA from 1 species